AUUGAACGCUGGCGGCAGGCCUAACACAUGCAAGUCGAGCGGAUGAAGGGAGCUUGCUCCUGGAUUCAGCGGCGGACGGGUGAGUAAUGCCUAGGAAUCUGCCUGGUAGUGGGGGAUAACGUCCGGAAACGGGCGCUAAUACCGCAUACGUCCUGAGGGCGCCAGUGGGGGAUCUUCGGACCUCUCGCUAUCAGAUGAGCCUAGGUCGGAUUAGCUAGUUGGUGGGGUAACGGCCUACCAAGGCUACGAUCCGUAACUGGUCUGAGAGGAUGAUCAGUCACACGGGAACUGAGACACGGUCCAGACUCCUACGGGAGGCAGCAGUGGGGAAUAUUGGACGAUGGGCGAAAGCCUGAUCCAGCCAUGCCGCGUGUGGGAAGAAGGUCUUCGGAUUGUAAAGCACUUUAAGUUGGGAGGAAGGACAGUAAGUUAAUACCUUGCUGUUUUGACGUUACCAACAGAAUAAGCACCGGCUAACUUCGUG
rnacentral:rRNA from 1 species